GAUGAACGCUGGCGGCGUGCCUAAUACAUGCAAGUCGAGCUAACGGACGAGAAGCUUGCUUUUCUGAUGUUAGCGGCGGACGGGUGAGUAACACGUGGAUAACCUACCUAUAAGACUGGGAUAACUUCGGGAAACCGGAGCUAAUACCGGAUAAUAUUUUGAACCGCAUGGUUCAAAAGUGAAAGACGGUCUUGCUGUCACUUAUAGAUGGAUCCGCGCUGCAUUAGCUAGUUGGUAAGGUAACGGCUUACCAAGGCAACGAUGCAUAGCCGACCUGAGAGGGUGAUCGGCCACACUGGAACUGAGACACGGUCCAGACUCCUACGGGAGGCAGCAGUAGGGAAUCUUCCGCAAUGGGCGAAAGCCUGACGGAGCAACGCCGCGUGAGUGAUGAAGGUCUUCGGAUCGUAAAACUCUGUUAUCAGGGAAGAACAUAUGUGUAAGUAACUGUGCACAUCUUGACGGUACCUAAUCAGAAAGCCACGGCUAACUACGUG
rnacentral:rRNA from 1 species